UUCAGAGCCUGCUGUGUCUGGAUUGCCUGGUGCCGGAAUCGGUGUGUGAUUGGCUUGGCAUAGCUCUGGGUGUGGCUAGCAGGGAGGCCCACCCUCAGCCUUGGGGUGGCUGCUAGGGCCCAAGGGCGAGUAGCCUGGACAGAUUACAAGGGCAGAAAGGGCUGCUGCUGCCACUUUUCACUUUACUUCCCUGCCUCCUGCCUUCUGCCCUCCUUGGACUGGUUCCCCGUGAUCCCUUCUGUCGAACCACCCUGCUGUGGAGCCAGCCGACUGUGGACUGAAGCCUCUACAAACGAUCUUUAUGGAUGACAUCAAUAGAUUUUUGAAAGUUGAGACGGCUUUGCUCACCUGGGAUAAAAUUCUACUUGAUUAUGAUCAGGCUCCUUCCCUGCUGCCCACCUGCUGUGGGGAUUUGAAGUCUUUCUGCCCACUCCUUCUCACCAUCUGGAAGCAAUAUCCCCGAGCCUCGGAGAAGCCCCGUCAUGGCGAGACUGACAAUACGUCACCUGCCGCUGCCUACGGUGAUUUAACAGAGGCCCCCAAGCCUGGGGCAUGGCAGGAGCGACAACACCAGCUGC